GCCAGGUGCGGUGGUGUGUGCCUGUAGUCCCAGCUACUCAGGAGACUGAGGCUGGAGGAUCAUUUGAGUCCAGGAGUUCUGGGCUGUAGUGCGCUAUGCCGAUUGGGUGUCCGCACUAAGUUCGGCAUCAAUAUGGUGACCUCCCGGGAGCAGGGGACCACCAGGUUGCCUAAGGAGGGGUGAACCGGCCCAGAAAUGAAGUAGGUCAAAAUUCCUGUGCUGAUCUGUAGUGGGAUCGCGCCUGUGAAUAGCCACUGCAUGCCAGCCUGGGCAACAUAGUGAGACCCCGUCUCU
rnacentral:SRP_RNA from 1 species